rnacentral:lncRNA from 1 species
UUCAUCGUAUACUUUAGAAAAAAAAUUCAAUGAUUUUACACUUACUAACUUUAUUAUCUUGUGGUUUAAAAGUGUAUCAAUUUAGUACUCUGUGAUUUCAAUUUUAUUUUUUAUCAUCGAUUCUACUAAUUUUUUUUAUUAAAUCAGUGGCAGAGUUAAAACUAAAUGAUACUGAAGUAAAUAUUCGAUAAAUUUAGGUAGGUAUCUGAAGUUUUUUUGUAUAUAAUUUAAUAAAAUAUUAAUGAAAAAAUGAUGAAAAGAUAAAAAUAAAACUACAAAUACUAAUUUGAUAUACUUUAAAUUAUAGAAUAUUAAAAUAAGAAAAGCGUGACAUGAGUGAUAUUUGAAAAUUACCCUAUAUUUUAAUUUCAUCUAAAAUAUAAAGUAAGAUAAAUAAAAAAUAUGAAAUAAAUAAUGGACCCGAUGUAGGCAUAUAUGUCGUCGGUGGUGUGCUGGAUGNUAAUCCUAUCCUGUAGUUUUUUUUUUUGUGUGAAUUUUAGUAAUAACAAAAAUGAAAUUAAUAAGAUUAGUGAAAAAAAAAUAUGAGUCGGUCAAUAAGAGAGUUAUAGGAUUAGAAACAAAAAGUUGAUUAUAAAAGGAACUGUUUCGUUCCAUUUCUCUUACUUCUCACUGUCUUUUUUGGGAUCGCAAGCGGUGGGCGUAAAUGGUCCGGAGCAGAGAAAUUGUGACCGUACUUUUAGUAAAUUACACUUUUAGUUCUCAAAUUAUGAGAUACUGAUUAUUUUACUAGUAAAAUUUAAUUCAUUAUAAUUUUUAGCUUAAAUUUUUUAAAAUUAUACAGACCGUUCCUAACGUAAAUGACAAAAGAUUUGAUGGUUGAUACCCGGUGUUUAGUUUGAAUACUAAUUGAUUUAUAUUUCUAGCUAAGUUUAUUCUUAAAUGAAAUAAACGAAUCGGAUAGCAUCCUAUCUAUCUCUUAAAAAAAACAAUUCUGAAUUAUUAUAGUGAAGCAGUCUCACAGUUUAAAUUAAUUUAUUUACUAAAUAUCGAUACGUUUUAAGUCUGAUAGUGAUAUUGUAUCUUAAUUACUAUCAAUCAUCAACCAUAACACUAUUACAUACUUAAUUGGACCAUAAGUUUGAUUGCAUUAAAAUAAAAAAAUUUAAGUAAAAAAUAAUAAAUAAAUUAAAGUUUGAGCACUACCAUCUCACACGCUUUGAAAACCAAAAAUGUUGUCUAGUCAAAAAAACCAUUUGCACUGAUCUUGUUUGCUAGUUAUCCCUAGGGAUUGUGGGAUUGAUUGUUGGAUAUGCAGCCCAUAUUCAUCAACUAUCAAUUGGGAAGAUUACAAAAAAAUUUUCAUGGCAAAUUUCAUCACUUUUUCUCAAUAUUGAAUGAGAAAAAUUUUAAAAAUUUCAAAAUUUUUAAAACAUUUUAAGAUAUAAAAUUUCAAAUUAAGCCUAAAUCCUUAGACCCAAAUUUAAAUACAUAAGAAGGCUUAAUCCCCUGGGCUUAUAAAAAAAAAAAAAAAGAAGAUCAAUUCUGUUUCUUCCAUGCGGUUAAGUGAACUAUUUUACAACCACCAACUUUUAUUCAUUUUUUUUAUUGUGAUAUUUAUUUUUUUGAGAGAUAGGUAGCAAUAUACCCACUUCGUUUACUUCAUUUAGAAAUAAAUUUAGCUGAAAAUGUGAAUCAAUUAGGAUUUGAACUUGAGACUUUUAGAUACCAACUACCAAGUUCCUUACCGCUUGCGUUAGAAACGGUUAGUAAAAUAUGAUUUUUAGGAAUAAAUUACAGUUUUGGUCCUCCAAGUAGAUGGUACGUCAUAUUUAAUCUUCAAACCUUAAUUUACCAUACUUUUUUACCUCGAUUUUUUAUAUUGUUAUAAUCAAAUUCCACAAUAUAGUUUAACGUAUAAAUCAUACAAAAGCAAAUUGAGAAACUGGACACAUUAAUUGAAUCAAAACCUCUAUGGUACAAUUAGCUUGGAAAAUACUGCUUGGCCUAUAGAACAAUUUCUUGUGCAUUAAAUGUAAAUGCUAUGGAACCGCAAUUGCAGGCUCACAUAAAUUAUUUUAUUCACCUAGGUUCUGAUAAAACUGAUGCAGGAGGAACAAACAAAGAGCCUGGACGAUCGUCUCCGCUAGACAUUACUGUACUAGUAGCUACAAAAUCGUAUUCAAGACUAGUUUCCACACCGGUCGCUCCUUCCAGAACCUUCACUACUGUAGACAUCGGAGGCCUUCUACUACUAUCGAUCUGCAGGCACCACAUCGCGAGUUUCAUCAUUUCAAUCACUUCUUCUUCGGGCAACUUUAUAUCUUUGUUGGAACAAUCGACUAUAUCCAACAACCGACCGGCUUUAACUUUCUCUUGCAACAAGCUAAUUAGAUGAAUACUCUCUUCAGGCUGAGAAUAAUCCAAGUUCUUUCUCCCACACAAAAUCUCCAUUACGACGAUACCAAAGCUAUAGAUGUCGACCUUUUCUGUGAUCUUCGAAGUCAACCACUCCGGCGCUAGGUACCCCGGCGUGCCUCUCAUUCGAGUCAUUACCUGGCUUUGAUCUCUGUCGAUUAGCUUCGAUAAUCCAAAAUCGGAUACUUUAGCAUUGAGAUUUUGGUCCAAGAGGAUAUUUUGCGGCUUGAUGUCUAAGUGGGCAAUCUUUUGCCUGCACUCUUCGUGAAGAUACGAAAGACCCCUUGCUAUGUCUAAGAUGAUUUUGCGCCGAGUAUGCCAAUCAAGAAGGGAGAUUCGAUCCGCAUUGAAGAUCCAUUUAUCAAGCGAGCCGUUGCACAUGAAUUCGUAAACAAGAAGCCUAUGCGUUUUCUCAGCACAAAAUCCAACCAUCUUUGCUAGGUUAAUGUGGUGAAUGCUACCAAUAGUCUCAACCUCGGCUAAAAAUUCUUUCCUCCCUUGGCCUAUCCCAUCCAAACGCUUCACGGCGAUCUUUUCGUCGCCAAUUUUCCCCUCGAAAACCGACCCAAAUCCUCCCUCUCCGAGCUUCCUAGAGAAGUUCUCGGUAGCCUCUUUCAAUUCCUUGUAUGAAAACCGCCUUGGCAUUCCCGGGACUCGAUCCAAAAGUUCCUCCUCCUCCUCUUCCUCUUUGCUGCAUCUCCUUAGCCCAAGCACAAUUGCAAUGAUAAUUAACACUAUGAAAACUCCAGGUAGCACGAUACCCAGCACAAUUCCUGUUUUAGACUGCUUCUUAGUAAAAUCCGGGCUUUUCGAAGGGGCAGAAGCAGGGGGUGAGAGGACUCUCUGCACCUUAACGUAUGCAGAAGAACUGUAAUGACUUAUCGCCGGUUGAUUCGUCUGCAUCGAGAAGAUCUCCGACGGCAAGUAGCAGCUACCAUGAGUAGUAUUUCCCCCACCGAACUGAAAAAACGCGGCUUUGCACGAACAAUUCUUCAAACAAGCCGUCCUGCAACUCUCUUCGCUGACCAUACUCUGAAACGCGGCCGCAUCGGGGUCGACAUAAUUGAAGUAAGAGACGUUAGUGAGAGGCAACAAUUCAUGAUCAUAUGAAAAUUCACAAGAUAAAGGAGUCAACGGCUCGCAACCGAGAUUAGCUUCCCGGUCGUUGACUUGCUGGAAAUAGUCAGUCGAAGGGCAGCUGCAUUGUCCGCCGCCCGUGCAAAUGCCGUAAUCGCCGCACACCGUCGGAUAAGCGCAGUUGUCGGGGUACACAUCGAGCACGUCCUGCACCACCCUCCACCCGGCGAUGCUGUAGUCGUAGAGCCUCAGGUGCCCGUCGGACUCGAACCUCAUGUACUGAGCCAACUUCGCCGGGGGUAGCGAGAUCGACGCACUGGGCUCGCCUGGUUGUGUGAAGGGAACGAAGACGGACAGGCUACCGUUGGUGAAGGUGACGGACGCCGACUUGUUCACGGCUUUCGCUCCGGUGAUGCCGUACUCGUAGUAGAGCUGCGGGGGAUCGGAGUCGACGUAGGCGCGGAAACCGUCGCGGAAGACGGCGAGGUAGAGUCUACUCUGGGUGAAAUUUACGGCGGAGACGUUGGCGGUGAGGCGCAUCCCUUCGGCAAGCGACUGGCCGAUGACGAGCGUGUCGGUGGGGUGGUCGAAGGACUGCCAGACAGGCGCGUUGGCGCGAUCGAAGAGCAGCAAGUUUCCGGCCUCUGUGAGGUUGAGACCUGCCACGCGUUUGUUCGACGUGUUCGUGGACCACACGAGGGAGUCGUCGACGUCGCGGAGAAUCAAGUCGCCGGCUUGGGUGAGCUGGAGCGUGGCGUUCUCGCGGACGGGGCGGGCGCGGUUGGCGGACCAGACGACCUGUCGGUGCGAUGGAACGGGGACGUAGCCAUAGCCGUGGGCGGCGCUGUAGCCGAUGAAUACGGAGAAGAGGAAGGCGUCGCAAGCGGCGACGCAGAAGAAGCCGCAGGCGAAGGAGGGGCCGAAUCCGGCGGGGUUGAGGCGGAGAAGGAUGGCGCGGACGGAGGAGCCGUCGGCGAAGGUGACGUUGUGGUGGAGGACGGAGGGGUUGUUGGUCCACACGGUAGAGAGGUUGGCGGUCGGAUAGUCGUAGGGAUUGGCGUGCGCGCGGAGAAAGCUGAGGAGAAAGCAAGAGGCGAUCGCGAGGAGGGAGAGGCAGCGGCGCCGGAGAAGCCACAUGGUGGUGGUGGUGGUGGUGGUGGAUUAGUGGGUGGGGUGGAAAAUUCAAGAUCCAUGAGCCGAUCUAUACAUUGCUUUAUUAGAAUAUUCACACUAGCUAGAAUGGUCAUUGCCUGCUCUCGGUGCAUUCACGCGCACAUAUCUGGUAUCAAUCUUCUGCUCUACACCAGCUACUUGUUUCAUCGUAUACUUUAGAAAAAAAAUUCAAUGAUUUUACACUUACUAACUUUAUUAUCUUGUGGUUUAAAAGUGUAUCAAUUUAGUACUCUGUGAUUUCAAUUUUAUUUUUUAUCAUCGAUUCUACUAAUUUUUUUUAUUAAAUCAGUGGCAGAGUUAAAACUAAAUGAUACUGAAGUAAAUAUUCGAUAAAUUUAGGUAGGUAUCUGAAGUUUUUUUGUAUAUAAUUUAAUAAAAUAUUAAUGAAAAAAUGAUGAAAAGAUAAAAAUAAAACUACAAAUACUAAUUUGAUAUACUUUAAAUUAUAGAAUAUUAAAAUAAGAAAAGCGUGACAUGAGUGAUAUUUGAAAAUUACCCUAUAUUUUAAUUUCAUCUAAAAUAUAAAGUAAGAUAAAUAAAAAAUAUGA